GAGAACUGGUGGGUGAGAGGGUAUUUAAAGGGAGACAUUUUUGGCACUCGGAUACACCUCUAGAUGAUAAAUUGAAAGGUCUAUUUAUCUCCAUAAGAUUUUUUUUCUCACACUUUAUCCUCCCCUUCUCACGCCCAACUCUAAGGAAACCCUAAUUGCUUCUUUCUUCAAUACAAUCACCAUUCAUGUCCAAGUUGAUUGAAGAUUUGGAGUUUAGAAGCCAAGCAUUGUGAAUGACUCUUGAUUGAUUGCUCGUUCGUCGACAUUGUUAUUAAAUCAAAAGAUUAAUGAAGUACGGUCAAAGGGCUUCAAAUGGUACGACCAGCUUUUUUUAAAGUGAAGUCGUAGCGCCUAAUGUUAGUAGAUGCAAAAUAUGUGUAAUAAGGAAAGUUGGAUGCAACAGUUGUUCUGCAAAGCCAAUAAGAAGGGGCAUGCUGAAGACACUGCAUUUGAGGUGCACAAGAGCUGUGGUCUAGAAAGGGGAGUUGGAUUUUUCUCAUUUUGGAAUGGAGACAGACGACACUUUUUUAGGGAGUGUUUUAUGGAGAAAUGGAGGGAAUACGUGGGGACUUCACGAAAAAGAAAAAGGGGCAAAAAUUAAUUGAGAGGAAGGGACAGCUGUGACAGAUCGGGAGGAGAGAGUAGAAACGUAAAUGAAAGUUGGGUCAAAGUAGGGAUUUUCGGCAGGAUUUAUUUCUGGCUAUGGACUUUCAGCAGUUGGGGAGAACGACAGAAUGUUAGGAAUUUUUAUUUUUUCUUCUUUUUUUUUUUUCGUUGGGUUCACAGAGGAGUUUUUCUAGGGCUGUGAGAGCUGAAACGAAAGAAAGAGAACAAAUGGACAUUCUGUGAGAGAACGGGACUGGAGCUGCUCUGUUUUGAAAAAAAAAAUAGAGGUGGUUCUUUUUUAUGAGUAGAAUGGAGACCCAGUAGGGGAUUAAAAAUCUGGAGUUUUUCGUGGAAGAAGUGGAGGGUAGAGGGAUUUAUUUUCGUUUGGCUUUGGAUUUUUUGGGUUCUUAGAUAGAGAUGUGGUCUCGCUUUAGGAAGGUCUGGAUCCUUGAAUGCUAGACGGAGAAAGGAACGCAGCGUAAGGACUUCCAUUUUAAGAGAGUUUUUAUUUUUAUUUUUGGGUUCUAUCUUUCUCCAUUUUUAUUCUCUUAUCUAAAUUGUUUUCGAGUGCUAGAUUGUAUAUUUUAUUUUAGUUUCCUAUGGAGAAUUUGUUUUUUAAUUUUCAUAACUCUUGGGUUGAAUAUGAUUGACUAAAUUUUCGGAUCAA